rnacentral:lncRNA from 1 species
CAGUAUAGAGACACUGGAACGAGAGUGUAGGUGGUUGUUAGAGAAUAACUAGCACUGAGCAUAACCAACACGAGAAGUCACAUAGAUCUCUGCUCACUCGUUAGUAACUUUCUCGAUGCUGCAGUUGUAUGACUGGUCCUUUGAUCUAGAUGGCACUACUGCUUAUAAUGAAGCUGCUAGAGUUUGACUAACACAUCAACAUGGGUCUCAAUGAGCUUUUGUAGUAGAUG